GUGCCUGGAGGAGGGAGGCGGAAGGACAGCCCUGCGCCACCAACAGGAGGAGGGAGCGCGGUAGCUACAGGCAGGGGAGGGAGGGGAAAGAAAAGGAAGGACGGCUCCCAGACAGAGAGUGGGAGAAAUCGGGGAGCAGCCGGAGCAGCAGGUCCGGGGGGAGCUGUUCCGCUGCGCUGCGCUCAUUAUUCACACGGACGCUGCGGAGCUUCCCAGGGCUGCUUCCCAGUCCCCCUGGGUGGAGGCUGCCGUCUAAACCUGACUCCAGAGUUUAAGACGCAAUGGCCAGAAGACAUGAACGUCUCACUAGAAGGAUGUGGACGUGGGCUCUGGGACUGUUGAUGAUGACUGUGGUCUUUUGGGGUCAUCAGGGGAAUGGACAAGGCCAAGGCACCUCCUACGAACCAGGAUCUGUACUUGCUGUCCCAGUUAUAAAGUAAAACAGCCUGUACUUCCUGCACUCAAGGAGACAGCUCUGUAAGCGGGGAGCUUGUUAAAAAUGCAGAAUUUGGGGAACUAUUCACAGAGAUUUUUACUAAGUUACAUGGAAAAAAGCCUGGGACUAGCUACGAUCUCCUCUCUGGUGAUUUGGAUGUGAUAGUCUCUUAAACAUAUUUUGAAAUAUACUCACCCAAAGAAUGGAGAAAGACCCAGCCAGCCCUCCUCAUGUGGCUGCUGAGGGAGAUAUAUGUAUAAUUAAAAAACUGCCGAAAACAAAGUCUCCUGUUCUGUUUUUUUUCAUUUACUUUUUUCUACCACUUCAGUUCACAUCUUAUUUUCUUCCAUUUAAUAGUUUUCUGCUGUUAGCCAAGGAAACAGGAAAUGUGAAUGCUCCAUUCCACACCAAAUGAAUGAGGACCUCCAGGCAGAAAAAAAAAAAAAAAAAUGUGGAGAACUGCUUUUUCUUCUUUUUUCUUCUUCUCAUUAAUCUCUAUUUGGAGAAACACUGGUCUUGGAAAUAAAUUGACAAAUAACAUGACCUUAGACAAAUCAAUUAAGUUUCUUGACCCCUGACUUUUUUUUCAUCUGUAUAAUGCUAUUUUUACUAAGGAUUUAUUAAUGUCCUUCCAGCUCUGAUAUUUUCUUACUGAUUCUAAUUACAUUUCAGCUUUAUUCAUUUUCUUUUUGAUACAAAUUCCUUUGAUGGGAAUCUCUUUCAACAAAAGCUUUGAGAUUUUAAAAAAUUGUAAUCUUUGAUAACUUCUACAUUUGUCCUCCUUAUUUUAAAUUUAUUUUCUCUUGUUUACCACUAGUUAAUCUUCUUGUCUUGAAGUCAGCUCAGAUUGGAAAAUAUAUGAAAGCCCAGUUCUUGUUUCUUUCCUAUUUGCAUCUGCUUUUUAUAGAAAUCUGGAAAAAUUAACAAAUUAUAAAAUGGUUUGUAAUAAUUAUUUCAAAUAUCUUUUCUAGGGUUUCUAAUUGCUUUUCAUUCAUUGGAGAUGACAGUUCCAAAUAUAUUCACCUUUGCAAAUGAAGAGGAUAGAAUUUUAAUCAGAAGAAUGAGAAAAUAAAAGUGCUAUGAUUAGAAAAACUUGAGGAUUAUUCUAACCAGCAAGCAGAGAUCUCUUAAAAACUUCAGAGGAAUUGCAGAAUUAAAAAAGUAUAUAUAUGUGGCAAGAACUUGAUUGGAUAGAUAAAUACAGGUAAUAGAUAUCUUUGAGGUAAAAUAGAACCUCAAUUUAAAUAGAUAAAUGCAAGAAUUUUAAAAAUGCCAAUGAACUUGAUAUAUUACAAUAAUCCUUUCUGGGCUGAAGGAAAUAUAAAUAGGUGCAAGUCACAGUGGAAAAAACAUACAAUCUGUCUCACUGGGUGAGAGGGUUGUCCUGAAAACAUCUGACAUCUGGAAUGCCCUUGUCUCCAAGUAUGCAAGUCCUCCAAAUAUCCUAAGGCUAAUAUAAUGCCAUCAAGUAAAUGGACUUUGUUUAUAUACAUGGGAACUUUUUAAGAAAUCUAAACAGAUUAAAAUUCUCGAAAGCAGUAUGAUUGAUCAAUAACUAAAUCUAUCCAUAACUGAGAAUUUGCACAACCUAGGCAACAAGCAUUUUCUAGGAAUAAGUUGCUAUUCAUCCAUAGUGUGUAAAUGACUCUUCCAAAACCAUUUUAAGAGAUGUCACCAUUUUAUCUUAUUUUUUUCUUCCUGUUCCAUCUUCCACUGUCUCAAACUCUCUUUACUUCAUUCCUCAGGAACAGCUUUCAUCUGCUCUUAUUUCCUUUAAAUAUGUGACAAUCUUUGCUCAUUGACUCUAUUUUCCUAGGAUACGGUUGUCCUAAUUAAUUUUACCUCAGCUGACAAUAGGAGCAUUGUAAAAAUUAAUAAUCUUACACAAGAAUCUUUCUGAAUACUAUGAAAUAUAAUCAGGUUUACCGUUUUUAUAAAUCUCUUUGUUUAGAGUAAAACAGGUGAUGAUAUGGCUUUAUCAUCAAGGGAUUCACCUCAAUGCUAACCUAAAAAGAGAGGAAAUUAGUUCUGAUAUAGGAUCCAACACAAUUAAGCAUUUUAACUCAUGCAUAUAACAAUCUCUUUGUCUCAGUCAACUGCUACUCUUCUGUUAUACAAUGAAUUUCUUUCUUUCAAUUAUUUUCUAAGAAGCAUUCUAUUUUUGGCAUAAAAUAUUGAUUUCCAUAAACAAAAAUUCAUGAAGGUACAGCAUAAGCAUGAAGACUUUAGAUUUAUGUAUGAUUUCUGAGCAGGGGCUAUUAAUUUUGGUUGACUUUGAGAGAAUAUUUGAAUUGAUUAGUAUUAACUAUUUUUAAAUCAGUAGAGACUGAGUUAUCAUGUACAUAUAGAUGUGUAUAUGCAUAUGUAUGUAUGUAUUUUUCUUCUCUUUUUUUAAAUAAUAGGAGUAAUGGGGCAAGAUAAAGUCAUAUAGACUAAAGAAAAUAAACUCGUAUAGACUAAAUAAAUUGGCACAUUUGAAUUGUAGUAUGCAAAAGUACAACCUAUUAUAAAUGUAUGUAUGUAUUAAGUAUGAUGAGUAAUUACUCCUGUAAUAACUAUGUCUCCAAAAAUCCUUCCUGGAAAAUGGUUUCUCCUAAAUAUGCUGCUGCAGUUAACUUGUAUUUUCCUAUUGAAACACUAUUGCAAUAUGUUAAGCUGCUUGCUUGCUUGAGUACACGUUACUUGAGUAAACUUUGUGACAGCAGGGAGGG